rfam:Porphyromonas macacae strain COT-192_OH2859 contig_14, whole genome shotgun sequence.
UAUAUUUGUGAUAAGUUUUGUGCGCAUACGUGAAGACGUGAGUUUGUGUCGUAUGGGCUUAAAAGGGAAUCGGGUGUAAAUCCCGAGCAGUCCCGCUGCUGUGAAUGACCGCCAACAGGGUGUUGGAAUCCACUCCCGGUUCUGUGCCGGGGGGAAGGCCAAAGACCCGAGGUUAUGAGCCAGAAGACCUGCAAAACUUUUCUGCGGCUU